rnacentral:rRNA from 1 species
GAGUUUGAUCCUGGCUCAGAGACGAACGCUGGCGGCGUGCUUAACACAUGCAAGUCGAACGGUGACGAGGAGCUUGCUCCUCUGAUCAGUGGCGAACGGGUGAGUAACACGUGAGCAACCUGCCCCAGACUCUGGGAUAACAGUUGGAAACAGCUGCUAAUACCGGAUACGAGACGGAGAGGCAUCUCUACCGUCUGGAAAGUUUUUCGGUCUGGGAUGGACUCGCGGCCUAUCAGCUAGUUGGUGAGGUAAUGGCUCACCAAGGCGACGACGGGUAGCCGGCCUGAGAGGGCGACCGGCCACACUGGGACUGAGACACGGCCCAGACUCCUACGGGAGGCAGCAGUGGGGAAUAUUGCACAAUGGGCGAAAGCCUGAUGCAGCGACGCCGCGUGAGGGAUGACGGCCUUCGGGUUGUAAACCUCUUUCAGCAGGGAAGAAGCGAAAGUGACGGUACCUGCAAAAGAAGCACCGGCUAAUACGUG